AUGAAGCUCGUUUUUCUUCUGUGUGCUGCCUUCGCUUUGGCUGCUGCAGGUCCAGAGGAGCAGAUGAUGGACGUCCAGCACAACAGGAAGCCGGGUGCAGUUCCUCUCCAGGCCUGCGGCGGCGCUGCUCGGUUCUUUGGCGGGUUUCGGCGCGUCGGUUAAAAACCUUCUUUGAACGUUCCUCUGGUUUCCCAAAAAGCGACGGACAGCAGAGCG